AGAGUUUGAUCAUGGCUCAGGACGAACGCUGGCGGCGUGCCUAAUACAUGCAAGUCGAGCGCAGGAAGCUCGCGGAACUCUUCGGAGGGAAGCAAGUGGAAUGAGCGGCGGACGGGUGAGUAACACGUAAGGCAACCUGCCUCAAGGAUUGGGAUAACUCCGAGAAAUCGGAGCUAAUACCGGAUAGUUCUUCGGACCGCAUGGUCCGAUGAUGAAAGGCGCUUCGGCGUCACCUUGAGAUGGCCUUGCGGUGCAUUAGCUAGUUGGUGGGGUAAUGGCCUACCAAGGCGACGAUGCAUAGCCGACCUGAGAGGGUGAUCGGCCACACUGGGACUGAGACACGGCCCAGACUCCUACGGGAGGCAGCAGUAGGGAAUCUUCCACAAUGGACGAAAGUCUGAUGGAGCAACGCCGCGUGAGUGAUGAAGGUUUUCGGAUCGUAAAACUCUGUUGUAAGGGAAGAACAGAUACGAGAGGUAAUGCUCGUAUCCUGACGGUACCUUGCGAGAAAGCCACGGCUAACUACGUGCCAGCAGCCGCGGUAAUACGUAGGUGGCAAGCGUUGUCCGGAAUUAUUGGGCGUAAAGCGCGCGCAGGCGGCCUUUUAAGUCUGAUGUGAAAGCCCCCGGCUCAACCGGGGAGGGUCAUUGGAAACUGGAAGGCUUGAGUACAGAAGAGAAGAGUGGAAUUCCAUGUGUAGCGGUGAAAUGCGUAGAGAUGUGGAGGAACACCAGUGGCGAAGGCGACUCUUUGGUCUGUAACUGACGCUGAGGCGCGAAAGCGUGGGGAGCAAACAGGAUUAGAUACCCUGGUAGUCCACGCCGUAAACGAUGAGUGCUAGGUGUUGGGGGGUUUCCGCCCCUCAGUGCUGAAGCUAACGCAUUAAGCACUCCGCCUGGGGAGUACGGCCGCAAGGCUGAAACUCAAAGGAAUUGACGG
rnacentral:rRNA from 1 species